rnacentral:rRNA from 1 species
AUGUUCCAACAAGUGUCGGGAUGGAGGAGAGCGCUGGAGGAGGGCAUGUGGUUGUUUGACAAAGAGUUGUUGGUAAUGGAGGAUUUUGAUCCGGACAAGACGGUGGAUGAAUAUGACUUCAAUUUGAUCCCUAUGUGGAUCCGUGUGUUUGGACUCCCUCCGGGCCAGAUGAACAGGGCGACGGGAGAGCGGAUCGGUGCUGAUUUCCAUGAGCUUGUUGAUGUGAACGUUGGGCCUGAUGGUAAAGCUAUAGGUAAAUAUCUGUGGGUCAAGGUCAGAUUGAAUAUACAAGAACCCCUGAUGAGAGGUUUCGUGCUGGAUCGGGACAAGAAGGGGGAGGAGAAGGGUGGAGAGGGGGUCGGGGUAGAAGGGGGAGAGGAGGGCCAGAGGAAGAAGAAGGGUUUGCUGUGGUGUCGUUUUGAAUAUGAGUACAUGCCCGAUUUCUGCUAUACUUGUGGUGUGAUCGGACACAGAGAGAAGGAGUGUAGGCUGAAACCUCCAAGGGGAGAAGCGCCGCAAUAUGGGCCAUGGCUGAGAGCGGAAGAGACAAACCACAGGAGACUUGAUGUUGUUGCUCAUGGUAAAGGACAGGGCAGCAGGAACUUCAGUGAGAGCAAAAGUAGUCAGGAGAGGAGAAGGAAAUAUGGCUGGGGCAGCGGGUCGCGGGGUUCAGAGAGUAAUGUAAUUUCUUGGAGGAAGGGAGAGCUCGUAUCAAAGAGCAGUGAUAAAGAGAAGGGUGGGAAAGAGUGCGGAUAUGGAUUGUGUGGCUGA